UACAGAGGGGGCGAGCGUUGUUCGGAAUUACUGGGCGUAAAGGGCGCGUAGGCGGCCAACUAAGUCAGACGUGAAAUCCCUCGGCUCAACCGGGGAACUGCGUCUGAUACUGGAUGGCUUGAAUUCGGGAGAGGGACGCGGAAUUCCAGGUGUAGCGGUGAAAUGCGUAGAUAUCUGGAGGAACACCGGUGGCGAAGGCGGCAUCCUGGACCGAGAUUGACGCUGAUGCGCGAAAGCCAGGGGAGCAAACGGG
rnacentral:rRNA from 1 species